UUUUGUGUUUAUUUUUAUAUACCAAAUCACACCCGUUCCCAUACCGAACACGGAAGUUAAGCUCUCUAGCGCCGAUGGUAGUUGGGACCUUGUCCCUGUGAGAGUAGGACGUCGCCAAGC
rnacentral:rRNA from 1 species